rnacentral:lncRNA from 1 species
UCAGCCUUGGGAGUCAUUCUAACGCUCCAAUGGUCAAUCAUACUCACUUAGAGAGGUUGAACCAUGUGGUGAGAAGUAGCAGGAGGUCCUUAGUCUUGGGGGCUCCCAGUAUGCCUCAAGGCCCGGAACGGACUAACCUCGUGAGUGUGGCAGGGUGGGGAACCCAAGUUUCAUAAGUCACCACGGGUGCAAGACUCGCCAUAGCCCGACUAUCAUUUUAAAGUCCGGACGAGUCAGGUCUAGAAAUUAACAUGCUUAGGUUGUGUGUUUUAAUCCUGUUUUGUUCUUAGUCCACUUUUGUAUGGUCACAUGAGUAAUCUGAUGCAUGUUGUCUUAUUUAUAUAAUUAGCU